UACGAAGGGGGCUAGCGUUGCUCGGAAUUACUGGGCGUAAAGCGCACGUAGGCGGAUUGUUAAGUCGGGGGUGAAAUCCUGGAGCUCAACUCCAGAACUGCCUUUGAUACUGAGGAUCUUGAGUUCGGGAGAGGUGAGUGGAACUGCGAGUGUAGAGGUGAAAUUCGUAGAUAUUCGCAAGAACACCAGUGGCAAAGGCGGCUCACUGGCCCGAUACUGACGCUGAGGCACGAAAGCGUGGGGAGCAAACAGG
rnacentral:rRNA from 1 species